rnacentral:rRNA from 1 species
GACGAACGCUGGCGGCGUGCUUAACACAUGCCAGUCGAACGGAAAGGCCCCUUUGGGGGUACUCGAGUGGCGAACGGGUGAGUAACACGUUAGUAACCUGCCCUUGACUUCGGGAUAACUUCAGGAAACUGGGGCUAAUACCGGAUAGGAAUCCUUGCUGCAUGGUGGGGGUUGGAAAGCUUCGGCGGUUUUGGAUGGACUCGCGGCUUAUCAGCUUGUUGGUGGGGUAGUGGCUUACCAAGGCUUUGACGGGUAGCCGGCCUGAGAGGGCGACCGGCCACAUUGGGACUGAGAUACGGCCCAGACUCCUACGGGAGGCAGCAGUGGGGAAUAUUGCACAAUGGGCGGAAGCCUGAUGCAGCAACGCCGCGUGCGGGAUGACGGCCUUCGGGUUGUAAACCGCGUUCAGCAGGGGCGAAGCUUGUGGUGACGGUACCUGCAGAAGAAGCACCGGCUAACUACGUG